rnacentral:tRNA from 1 species
GUCAGGAUGGCCGAGUGGUCUAAGGCGCCCGACUCAAGUUCGGAUCUCGUGAGAGGCGUGGGUUCAAAUCCCACUUCUGACA